rnacentral:rRNA from 1 species
ACGGGAGGCAGCAGUGGGGAAUCUUCCGCAAUGGGCGAAAGCCUGACGGAGCAAUGCCGCGUGAGUGAUGAAGGGAUUCGUCCCGUAAAGCUCUUUUAUACAUGACGAAUAUGCCUGGGGUGAACAAUCCCGGGUAGUGACGGUAGUGUAUGAAUAAGCCACGGCUAACUACGUGCCAGCAGCCGCGGUAAUACGUAGGUGGCGAGCGUUGUCCGGAAUUAUUGGGCGUAAAGAGCAUGUAGGCGGUCUUUUAAGUCGGGAGUGAAAAUGCGGGGCUCAACCCCGUAUGGCUUCCGAUACUGGAAGGCUUGAGUGCAGGAGAGGAAAGGGGAAUUCCCAGUGUAGCGGUGAAAUGCGUAGAUAUUGGGAGGAACACCAGUGGCGAAGGCGCCUUUCUGGACUGUGUCUGACGCUGAGAUGCGAAAGCCAGGGGAGCAAACAGGAUUAGAUACCCUGGUA